GGGAACAGGCCUCACCUCUUGCUGUAUCCAGCCGCCCGAACCACCGGACCGCCGCCGCUGCUGCCACCACUCCUGAGGGGACCCUUGCUGGGCCAGGCAAAGAGUGCACGUGUGGGGACCCCCGUGCCUGUGAAAGAACAGUGACUAGACCAUGGAACAAUAACACCUAGCACAGAAAUCUAUUGUGCUUGACCCAGAAAAACUUGAAGAAAAAAAAGGGAUACAGUAUUGUACAUAGGUUAAGAAGACAAUUACAGACAUGUCGAGGGUGUGAUACAGCUGACUCAACUUUAAUAGUGAACAAGCUGAAUAACUUACAAAAUACAUUUUUUCUUGACAUGAUCCAUAAUGAUGGCUGCAGAAGUGAAGCUGGAUGUAAUGAGUCGCUUAGUGAAGAUUAGCUGCUCGCUGCCUUUACUACACAGACAACUAAACAGACAAGAAGGAAGUU